rnacentral:lncRNA from 1 species
CUCAUACAAAGCAAAAGCUAGACUAUCAAGAGUUGUAGUUUUGCUGCAGUUUGUUUCAGCAGCAAAAGACAAUUAAUUGUUACUAGGGCAUUCACUUUGGAAUCACGAUGUCACCAAGACAAAUUUUAAUUUUAUUCAUCCUUGGAAUUUAUUGUAAUAUUUCUCAGGAGUAUGCUUUAAACCGAAUACAAGUUCAAUGUAAGUAUGUAAAUAGUGUAUGCAUUUUGACAAUACUUCCGUUUGUAUUUCAUUUUUAAGAUAAGUUACAGUUUGUGCAUCAAUAUAAACAACCCAUAUACGUGUGUUCAGUUCAUGCUUUUCUUUUCACAGAGGCAGACAUAGUUAUCAAAAGUACCAGGAUUAUAGUUUAAUACCCAGACGCACGUUACUUCUACAGAUGCGUGUUUCGUCUACACAAGACUAAGAAAAAGGGAAAUAAUUACGACCGCGACAUCAUAACCGUAUAACAAAUUAUUCAAAUUUAUACUAAAUCUAAUACACGUAAUUUUCAACUGAUAUUAAACAUUCAGAAUGGAAAUCGUUUUAGAGAACUUAACAAUGGUCAAGUUUUUAUAUUUGAAUUAUUAACGUCUGUUUCUGUGACCUUUAAAAGCUUGAUAUAGGUAAAUAAUUUAGGACGCAGGUUUGCAUAUUAUGCACUCGUUCUUCCCAAUAAUAGUAUGAAGCCUAGAGAUAUUUGUAAAAUUUUGAACUAAAGACAAAUGUUCACAAAAUAGUCCAAUACGGUUUGCAAAUUUGUCUGGAUCUUUCUUAUGCAUAAAAAUAAAUUCAGCCAAACAAACAAGAGGCUCUCAAGAGCCUGAAUCGCUCACCUGGUAAACAAUGCCUUCGGCCAUGUUUUUUGACGAAAUAGAAAAUAAAACACAAACUUCAUUUUAUACACCCUACUGAUCAUUCAAAUGAAGUUUGGUUGAAUUUGGUUGAGUAGUUUUAGAGGAGAAGAUUUUUUUAAAGUUAGCAAAUAUGAUGAACAAAUUGUGAAAAAUUGUCAUUAAAGGACAAUAACCCCUUAAGGGGUCAAUUGACAAUUUUGGUCAUAUUAACUUAUUUGUAGAUCUUACUUUGCUGAUCAUUUUUGCUGUUUACAGUUUAUCUUUAUCUAUAAUAAUAUUCAAGAUAAUGACCAAAAACUGCAAACUUUCCUUAAAAUUACCAAUUAAGUGGCAGCAACCCAACAAUGGGUUGUUUGAUUCAUCUGAAAAUUUUAGGGCUGAUAGAUCUUGACCUAAUGAACAUUUUUACCCCCAUGUCAGAUUUGCUUUAAAUGCUUUAGUUUUUGAGAUAUAAGCCAAAAACUGCAUUUGACCCCUAUGUUCUAUUUUAAGUAACGGCGGCCAUGUUUUUUGACGGAUCAAAAAUCGAAGCACAAACUUUGUGCAGGAUAAUCUAAGGAACAAUCAUGCUAAGUUUCAUCCAAAUCCAUUUAGUAGUUUCAGAGGAGAAGAUGUUUGAAAAAUUGUUAACGACGACAGACGACGACGACGGACGCCAAGUGAUGAGAAAAGCUCACAUUUCCUUUUAGGAAAGGUGAGCUAAAAACUGCAAAAUUUCCUUAAAAUUACCAAUUCAGGGGCAGCAACCUAGCAACGUGUCGUCCGAUCCAUCUGAAUAUUUCAGGGCAGAUAGAUUUUGACCUGAUAAACAAUUCAACCACAGUCAGAUUUGAUCUUAAUGCUUUGGUUUUUGACAUUUUACCCCUAUGUUCUACUUUUAGCCGUGACAGCCAUCUUGUUUGGAUGGCCGGGUCACCGGACACAUUUUUUAAACUAAAUACCCAAAAGAUGAUUGUGGCCAAGUUUGGAUUAAUUUGGCCCAGUAGUUUCAGAGAAGAAGAUUUUUGUAAAAGAUUACUAAGAUUUACGAAAAAUGGUUACAAAUUGACUAUAAAAGGGCAAUUACUCCUAAAGGGGUCAACUGACCAUUUCGAUCAUGUUGACUUAUUUGUAAAUCUAACUUUGCUGAACAUUAUUGCUGUUUACAGUUUAUCUCUAUCUAUAAUAAUAUUCAAGAUAAUAACCAAAACAGCAAAAUUUCCUUAAAAUUACCAAUUCAGGGGCAGCAACCCAACAAUGGGUUGUCCAAUUCAUCUGAAAAUUUCAGGGCAGAUAGAUCUUGACCUGAUAAACAAUUUAACACCUGUCAGAUUUGAUCUAAAUGCUUUGGUUUUUGAGUUAUAAGCCAAAAACUGCAUUUUACCCCUAUGUUCUACUUGUAGCCAUGGCGGCCAUUUUGGUUGGUUGGCCAGGUCACCGGACACAAUUUUCAAACUAGAUACCUCAAUGAUGGUUGUGGGCAAGUUUAGUUCAAUUUGGCCCAGUAGUUUCAGAGGAGAAGAUUUUUGUAAAAGAUAACUAAGAUUUAUGAAAAAUGGUUAAAAAUUGACUAUAAAGGGCAAUAACUCCUAAAGGGGUCACCUGACCAUUUCAGUCAUGUUGACUUAUUUUUAGGUCUUACUUUGCUGAACAUUUUUGCUGUUUACAGUUUAUCUCUACCUAUAAUAAUAUUCAUGAUAAUAACCAAAAACAGCAAAAUUUCCUUAAAAUUUCCAAUUCAGGGGCAGCAACCCAACAACGGGCAGAUAGAUCUUGACCUGAUAAUCAAUUUUACUCAUGUCAGAUUUGCUCUAAAUGCUUCGGUUUUUGAGUUAUAAGCCAAAAACUGCAUUUGACCCCUAUGGUCUAUUUUCAGCAAUGGCGACCAUGUUUGUUGAUAGAUCAAAACUUCGGAUACAAUUUAUAAACUAGAUACCCUAAGGAACAUUCAGUUAAAGUUUGGAAGUAUUUGGCCUAGUAGUUUCAGAGGAGAAGAUUCUUGAAAUAGUUUACGUCGACAGACGACGACAGACGACGGACGACGACAGACGACGGACGACGACGGACGCCAAGUGAUGGCAUAAAGCUCACUUGGCCCUUCGGGCCAUGUGAGCUAAAAAGGGGCCUAUUUUAGGGCCUUAUCGUACCUACUCCUUUAGAAGAGUUCUAAUUGUAGACACUGAGAAAAAAGCAAAAAUAGUUCAUGGGAUGAACUGACAGAUGGAUGGUCAGAUCCACAGGAGGAAAACAAUUAAAAGAUUUGGCAGCAAUCUUAUCGAAAAGAGAUAAUAGGGUACACCUUUCUACGUUCAGACGUGGUUGAGUUGAUUGUUUGUCCUGCAAAAAUGUAAAGCAAACAUUUUUGUUAUACAUAACCUGGCCUCAAAUUAAAUUAUUUUUAUACAUUUAGGUUCAUAUUGGUAUAUUAACACUAAACGCACUACGAAAAUCCGAAAUACAUUAUUCAAAUGAAUUACCUUUAUGCCAUAGUUAGUCGACAGAGAAAUUAGCAGAGUAAAUAUGCUUGAAUGAAAAGAAAGCUUUAUGCUAAUACUAAUGGUAAAACUGGAGAUAUGAUUUGAUUCAAUUUUGUUCACUCAUUUUUAAAUUACAGUUAAGGCAUAUAAAUCAUUAAUCAAAAAAGAUUGGCUAGUGCAAUGUAAUGCUGACGAGUCAUGUGACGUUGAUGUGCGGGAAACGAGAACCGGAUCCGAAUGAGGCAGUAAUCAUUUCUCUUUAAUUAAAUUGGUUUAUCUUAUAAAUGAGAUAAACCGUAUUAAUCAAAGAAUCAAGUUUCAGGCAAAAACAUAACAAACAAAUAUCUAAUGUGGAAAUAACGGCCACAGUUCACUUAGAAUGACGAGAUCUGACAUGAUUACAGAAUGCCGACAUGAUUGAUUUAACUGACAAAUCUGUGCACCAUUGGUAGCAAUGGAUGCUCAAGUUCCUCAAGGUUCAGCCUAAAGAGAACGAGGGUUAUGAUCCCCAAAUACGUCGGGUCUUAUUCGCAUCACCCCCUGGUUUCAGGGGAGUAAAGAUUAACAGUUUCUAUAACAUAAAACUAUAUAUGCACACUGAAUACAUAGGCCAUACUAUGUAUCAUAAAACAGUCAAGCUCGAACUGGUACCAAUUCAGAACCGGCCACUCAGGGUAGACAUGAGAUGGUCUCAACAGAACUUCCUGCGGUACCGCAGGAAAGUAAAAACCUAAUAUGAUCCGACGUACAAUUACGGGAAACGAUCAUAACCCCUUAAUCUUGCCACUUGAGUGAGUCUAUACACACUCAUCAGACCCCCCCCCCCCUUUCCACAACCUAAAGGUCCAUUUAAGUGAACUAGCUAAGAAGGCAUAAGUCUUUGUUAAUACGUUUGAAUCUUGGACAAUCAUAGUUUUCCUUUUGUAAUAGCUUUGUUAUAAUGGUGCUGUUAUCCUUCCAUAAUAUCCCCUCAGCUGCAGAGAGAUUUGUUUUUGAAGAUAUCACUUCUUUUAUUGUAUUAUCCAUGUUAUAUAUAUAUAUUUAAAUCAUCAUAAAAACGCAAUAUUUUAGCAGUAAUACAUCCACCGAUCAAUGGGUUUACUAAAAGAGUUAUCUCGCCUCAACCGGCUUAGUUGAACAAAUUUAUUCUAAAGCACUUAUGUUUGGUACUUAUACUUAAAAUAUUUUUAAUAUAUAUAAUGCGAUAAAUCAGAUAGUUUCUUCAAGAGAUACACAGUCUAAUAAAUAAAAUUGAACAUCUGUGUACAAAUUCAGAGAUUUGGGUAAUAACUAGACUGAUUGGUCACUGCAAAAGUACAAUGCAAGAUGGUGGUAUACCAUGAAUCUACCCAAUUGCUUUGUUAAUCUGUAAUAGGCACUAAUAUUAGUUUUCCAUUCUCAAUUUUAUUAUCCUCUACAAAGUUUACGAAAAUACAUUACCUGUAUAUAUAAUUUAUGCUAUUCUAGGCACCCCUUCAAAGUCGUGUACAUUUGAAUAUAUAUUUAGUUUAAACAAGUAACGUGACCAAUAUUUUGAAACCCAACGGCAGGGAUGUAUAACCAUAUAACGUACACUUAAAAAAAAAUAAAAUUUCAUAUCAAUCAAUAUAUAUAGAAAGUAUAACACUUCCUGUACUAAAUCGGCAAUCACAUGCAUUCCUAGUACUAGUACUUAAAAUUCGGAUACAGUUCCAUGGUAUUACUUUAAGUAAUGGGUGUAUAUAGAUGCAUAGUUGAUUAAUUCCGACUAGAAUUAAAAAGAUUCAGCUCUGUAUAUAGAUAAGAAUGCUAAAUGUUCCUUUUAAUAGAAGGAAAUAGAUCAAGAGUAUUUGAAAUAAAUUUAAAAUUCAUUGAGUCUCCCAUCUGGAUAAUAUGCGUGUUUGUUUGUAAAAGUCCUUAACAGUAACUUAAAUACCGCAUAUUUGUUUUGUUUCUAAAAAUAGACGUGGGGAAGCCCAUAGUUCGUGCUGACAUGUAAAAUAAAUGUGAUAGUAAAAUACAAAGGUAUCCUCAAUGUUUACAUACCCGUGUUAGAUGAUGAUACAAUCAAAAUAUUAAAAACACUACAUGUAUAUAUACAAUAACAUUAUCGCACUUCAAAGUAAAGAGGAUAUUGUGUACCAUGCUCUGUCUGCUGCUUCGUGAGUUUAUAAAGUAAUUUGAUAAUUGUGUUAAAAGUGCACAUAAUUCCCUUAUUUGCUCUAAGUUGACUUGUUGGUAAACUAAUUGCCCUGUCCACGAGCUUUAGUGAGCUAUCUGAAACCUAUACAGACUAACAGAUCAUAUGUUAAGGUCUUUUUUUUUAAAUAUCAACUCAGCUUUGCUUGUAUAACUAUAUUUGCUUGAAUAACUAUAUUAACUCUAUUUGCCUAAGUCAGAAAAUUUACGGUCGGACAUGAUAUGUAUGAUUCAACAACGUAAACAUGAGCUCUGUAGAUCUCUCAAGUUCAACUGACUUGAUAUUUUAAUUUAUAUAAAAAUCAACUAUCAAAUUUUAUAUAAGCAUAUUUUACAACAAGAACACAUGUAUUAUGAACAGUAGAUAGCUAGACAAACAUGCAAAAAUUAAAGCAAGCAAGCUAACAAGAAAAUAAACGCAAAUUGAAAAGUAUAAAUAUAUACAUGUAACUGAGUAGCUCACUCAUGUAAAAAAAGAAUUGGUAUGAGUCAACUCUUCACAGUAGACCAAACGGCAAAUAAAUCAAUAGCAAUAAGUCAUCGUACUGCCUUCAACAAUGAACAGGGCCCAUACCGCAUUAAUAACGAUAAGUCAAUUUACUGCCUUCAACAAUGAGCGGAGCCCAUGCCGCAUAAAUAACAGUCACUUUUCUGCCUUCAACAAUGAGCAGGGCCCAUACUGCAUUAAUAACAAAAGUCAUGUACUGUCUUCAACAAUGAGCAGAGCCCAUACCGCAUUAGUGAGUAAAUAAAGACCCAAAAGAAAAAUGUUAAACAAGUCAAACGAGAAAACAGUAGGCAUAAUUUAUGUACAUUUAUUUUUUAUUUUUUUUAUAGUAAUGCCGAUUUAAGUGUAUCAAACAAUUUAAGAAAUAUUUAAGACUGUUGAAAGAAUUUGCACGUGUAAAUACUUUAAUCGAAGCCAUCGACUCUGAUUGGAUUUAUUCUAAAGCUAUCGCGUCAUCCGCCACAAAAUUUGUCAUUGUCUUUUAACUCUCAUAUAGUGUAUUUCAUUUACCGUACACCUUAGCUGAGCCAUCUAACACAUAGUGUAUAAUUGUGUAUAAUUAGUGGUAGAAUCUAUAAAGAUAAGGUUGACGAAUUUGCACUUAAUGCCCUCGUGUGUAUCUUGUGUGUAAUAACGCUAGGUGCGUCUUCAAACGACUGCAUGGUUAUAUAGUACAUUAAAGCAGAGACAUGUAAAAAAGGUCACAGUGCGAUGUGAAAUUCAAAUUAAAUAUAUGACGUCAAAUUAUAAUAAUAAAUAAUCCUUUCAGUAAUUUUAUCUCACCAUCCACAGGCACUUGUUUCUGUCAAUGUGGGGUUUACUAUCCAUACCAGUACAAAAAAAAACACAAGGUAGCUAACGGAAAUUUUCAAUGUGUUCGCUUCAACCAAUAUUUUUUUAAUUUCCCUUGAUUUUUUCACAAAUAAAAGUACACCAGUCUGUCGGUAAUUGAUUUAUCUUUACAAUGAAACAACUUUCACGUACCUUGAGAAUACCCCUCAAACAGAAUAACACACUUCAGAUGAGAAUUAUUGACCUUUUUCCAGACCAUUGAAUUUGUAAGGACUUAACUUCCGGUAAACGUAGGAAGUUAAUAUAACUGUGCAAUCCCAUUGGUUUAAUUCAUCUGGUUACCUGUUUAUUUAUACUAGUUACCAGUAACCAGAAAAAUGUGACCAUUACUAUGUCUCUUCGAUAGUUUCAUAUCAAAAUAUUAGAAUAUGAUAUGCGGAUGUCAAUGAUUUUUUACGAUUACAUUUUUUGAAACUUUUACAUAUCUACAAGAUUGGCUAGUGCAAUGUAAUGCUGACGAGUCAUGUGACGUUGAUGUGCGGGAAACGAGAACCGGAUCCGAAUGAGGCAGUAAUCAUUUCUCUUUAAUUAAAUUGGUUUAUCUUAUAAAUGAGAUAAACCGUAUUAAUUCUUAAAAUACACUUAGUUUUGACGAAUUAUAAGUAUGACUGCAUAUUUUAAUUGAAUGCUUAUGUAGCAAAUGUCUUGAAAGCAUGUUUAUUCUUUUGCAUUGACAAUUGCAUCUAUCAGCAAGGUCAAAUAGAUUCUUGAUUUUGAUAAUCUCACAAUUUUAGAAAUUUAAAGUAUUAGUUACUAGUGAUAGCAAUUGGAUUGUUUUAUUUUCAACAGUCGGACAAGUGAUAAACAGACUUGUAGAUGGAGCAUAUGAUCCGUUGUGCAGUUACUAUAAGAAGAUAUGUGAUUGUGUAAAAACUCGACAAUAUUGUGUGGAUCCAUCUUGCUGCGAGCCAUCACAAUUUCCUGCCGGCGGAAUGAUUAGUCCGAACAUUACAACAGAGGAUGACGACUGAAUUAAUCUCAAGGUAAACACCUUUAUGCUGCAUCGGUUAUAUGCGUUGUCUCAUUAUAUUGAUGAUUAUAGUUACAAUUAAGCAUAACAUCUAUUAGAACUUUGAAAUAUCAAGACAAAACGUUCUAUUUGUUGAUAAAAAACUACGAACACAUAUACGUAUGGUCCUACACUUUGAUAUGUUGCAUUGAAAGAUGUCAUGUGUAUGACGUCUUUUCAGUAAAUCCGUUUGAUGUAUCCUGUUUAGUAUAUUAUUAUGGGAAGACAUUAUAUAUAUAUAUUAGUUGAUGUUAACAUUUAACUAGCUAUCAGUAACUGUGAGUUUUCUUAUAUCUAUACGUUGUGUCGUUUUGUGGGUAAUUGUUUGUGCUCGGUUAUACAUGUAUCUGAUUGUCCAAGCUCUAUUGAACAACUUUAUAUCUUUUUUCUUAUAAAAUGAUUUUACAACCCUGUCAUAUACAAGGGAAAGUGUGUUUAACCCCGCAGUGAACUGGCUGAUAAUCACUUCCAAAAUCAAUCGAAUAAUCAAUCGAUCAAUAUAUCAAUGAAUCAAAACAUGUGUAACUGUGCAGUUUGUUUUUGUCAAUUUACAGGUUAUAAUUUUCUUCAGUCACCUGCUUGAUGUAGUGGAUAUACGAACUACAAUGGCUUGAGUUAUGUAAUGGUUAAACAUGCCACAACCGCCUGCUAUAUUAAGUGAACAUACCUACUACAAUAACUCGCUUUAUGUUGUAGACUGCCCUACUACUAUCCGCUGCUUUAUGAAGUGGACAUACAAACUACAACCGCUAGCUUUUUUAGUGGAUAUACCUACUACAACUGCCACCUUUAGUUAGUUCACAUACAUACCACAACCGCCUGCUUUUUGUUGUGGAUAUAAAUACUACAACUGACUGCUUUAUGAAGUGGACAUACCUUCUACAACCUCCUGUUUAAUGUAGUUGACAUACCUGCUACAACCUCCUGAUAUCUUUAUAGUGGACAUAUGUACUAUGGCUACAAUCACCUGCUUUAUAAAGUGGACAUAUCUACUGUAAUCGCUUGCUUUAUGUAGUGGACAUACAUAUUACAUCCUCCUACUAUAAGUAGCGGAUAUAUCUAAUACAAUUAUCUGCUUUAUGUAGUAGAGAUACAGACUACAACCGCCUGCUUUGUUUAGUGAACAUAAAUACAAUGUACCACAGUUACGGGCUACAUAUAGUGGAAUAUAUACCUUUUUAUAUAGUAGAGUAAUAUAUACUAUUAGUACCUGCUUAAUGGAGUGGAAAAUAUAGAACAAUCACUAUCCAUAAAUUUACCAACCAGC